CGCGGUGGAGCCGGGGGCGCCUCCCGGGGCACCCGCUCCCUGCCGCCCGCGGCGCGGUGCAGGGGACGCUCGGAGCCGGCGGGGUGGGUGCGGUGUCUCUGCCCCCCGUGGCGGGGGACGCCGCAGCGCUGCCAGCUGCAGCAGCAGCACAAGGUACAUCGUUAUAUGCAUGUACAAUUCCGUGGGCUUCCCACCCAUGGAAAUGGAAAAGUGCGAGGCGAAGAAUGAAUUAUCGGGGCGUUUCGAUAGGGUCGUGCUGCUGAGCGCUGAUUCACUUUCCAAAAUGACAAAACCCUGUUCCCGUGCUGUAAGAUACAGAUUUACCUUCUUUUCGCCCCCCCCGCCCCCUUGCCAUUUGAAACAGAAGCCGCCUCAAAACUUGCCCACAAGCCCCCCGCUUUUCCUUCGUGGCAUGGCCGUGUUCCGCAUUUAGCUGCGGUCAGCCCCGGGCUUCUUGGGCGCCGGCGUCCGGCAGCCGCAGCUCUGGGCUGCCUCCGGCUGACCUAUAUCGCUCACCCGUCCCUGAGAUCGGGCUCUCCGUCUCCUUUGACUACCGACCUUCAUGCCGUCUUCCACGGGAUUCCCUCCCUCUGCAACCCUGUCGUAGCUGCCGCCCUCUCCCACAGCUGGCUUGCUGCUCCUGACCUCCACUUCUGGCCCAAUUCCAAAUCUCCUCUGGCAUGUUUCAGAAUUCUCUGCCUACAUUAUUAUUACAUUGGGUUUAAAUCGUGUGCUUUUUUUAAUUCCUAGUUAAUCAUUCAUACUGUCUCAUCUCAGAAUGCUGUGGAACUAGAGCUGAUCCUGUGCUUAUGACGAGUGGUUCUUCCGUUAAGCUGAAUUUGCACACUGUCCCAAAGUAAUCAAGUCAGGAAUCAGAAGAUUUGGCUUCUCUGAGAACUGUGUUUACCUCAAGUCCUACAGGAGGUACUGUGUGUGUUGGUAUUGCUUCCUUUUUUCCCUUUUUUUCCCUCCUUGGUUUGUCUUCACAGGGUUGUUUCCCUUCAUUCCUUUCUAUUUCUGCAUUAGACCAACUAAACACAUGAUACCUAAGACUACACUCACUGUGCCCCCCUGCUCCAUCCCCUGCACUCAACUCUGGCCAAGAUAUAUGGACAGAGAGUUCCUUUUAGCCAAGGGUAAUGAGUCUCAAAGUCUGGAUGAUUAGAAGGAAGGGUUAGGGUUUUACCUGCCUUUUGGGAGAUCAUUUUCAGAUACCAUUCCUAAUCAUACACUCUAGUACAAGACCUGCAGAAGUGAGUCCUCCCUGGAGACUGCAGUGCUAUUCUUUGCUUUAUGGAAGGUGUUUCUGCCCUCCAUUUAUCCUAAAGGGUUAGAACUGACAUUUGGCACUGAAAUUUGUUUAAUUUUUUUUAUUUUUGCUUCAAAUUUUGAUAAAAUUUAACCACUAAGAUAGUCCAGGUUUCUGCUUGAAGCAACAAAAGGGUAGCCAUAAUACUCAGUGGGCAGUCUCUCUGAUGUUGUGGAGUUUAUCUAUAAUGCAGGGGGUGUAGAUGUAUUUGAGCCAGUUCUACUUCUUGGGUUCAGCUGGCUGUGCAAGCGUGGAGCUUGAUGAAGAACAACAGUUCACCAGCCUUUCAGGCUCUGCUUGAUUUUUUUUUUUUUUAUUUCUUCCCUUCACUUCCCCAGGAAAUACUGAGGUUAUGAGAUUUUGUACAAAAUUAUUCCCUGCAAUUGUAACUAGUAACACACAUCUGUGCUUGUCUGGAGGUCUCUCUGCAAUGCCCAGGCUGUGUGUUUUAGGUUUAGGUCAUCCCCAUUCACCACUUACUUAUAUGUCAGGUCUGAGCCAUGAAAUAUAGAAGGUAAAGUUAUUGAUGACUGAAAUUCUUUGUUACACCCAGAUACGUAGGUGACAUAUCCAAAAGGUUGGAUAAGUUUAUGAUCAAUAAGAAAUUCAUGUAACUACAGAGCUGAAGAAGACAACAAGCAAAUGAUGCAAUCUACUAAGCACUGACCAGGGAAGACGAUGCACCUCCACAAAUGUAUUUAGUCUUCAUAGGAGAGUGGUUCCUCUGAAGCCUCUGGUGUUGCCUGCUACUGGAGACAGGGCUCAGUGGAGUAAUUACUUUAGUCAUGAAGACAGAUACUCCAAUGACAUCAGUGGAAAUCCUUUUCAUGGUGCUGAAUUACAGCUUAAGAGCAGCAAUCUCAUGACACACUCCUCCUGAUUCCGCACCUGCGUCGUGACAACUGUAUUGCUUGGUUACAUGAAAACAAUAUCACUGCCUAAGGGGAAGACAAAAUGACAAUAAAUUUAUUUUUAUGAGA